rnacentral:rRNA from 1 species
GCGGGGCCUGCGGCCCAUCAGGUUGUUGGCGGGGUAACGGCCCACCAAGCCGAUGACGGGUAGCUGGUCUGUGAGGACAGACAGCCAGACUGGGACUGAGACACGGCCCAGACUCCUACGGGAGGCAGCAGCAAGGAAUUUUCGGCAAUGGGCGCAAGCCUGACCGAGCAACGCCGCGUGGAGGAUGACGGCCUUCGGGUUGUAAACUCCUUUUGCGGGGGAUGAUGAUGACCGUACCCCGCGAAUCAGGCUCGGCUAACUCUGUGCCAGCAGCCGCGGUAAGACAGAGGAGCCAAGCGUUGUCCGGAUUGACUGGGCGUAAAGCGCACGCAGGCGGUUGCGCGCGUGGGGUGUGAAAGCGAGCCGCUUAACGGCUCGAGGCCAUCCCAUACGGCGCAACUCGAGAGUGGCAGAGGUUCGUGGAAUUGCCGGUGUAGUGGUGAAAUGCGUAGAGAUCGGCAGGAACACCAAGGGGGAAACCAGCGAACUGGGCCAUAUCUGACGCUCAGGUGCGAAAGCGUGGGGAGCGAACCGGAUUAGAUACCCGGGUAGUCCACGCGGUAAACGAUGAAUACUCGGCAUCUGGCGGCCGAUCUUCGGCGGCCGGGUGCCCCAGCUAACGCGGUAAGU